CACGCCCCCAACCAAGAUGCCAUUCACAAACUUCUAGCUCUCAUACAACGAAAAUGCAAUCAAAUGCGAUGGCGGAGGGAAAUUCAGAUGGUGAAUUAAGUUUAAAUUUAGACUGUCUUCGUCGUCGUUCGAAGAGGAUGUAAAUGAAAACGAAGAGGUACAAAUGCUUAUUUGAACCAGAAUAUAGAGAAGAAGCUACAAAUACAGACGAAGACAUUGGCGUAGGCAAUCAUAGGCUUUUGAAUACCUAGUGGACGUGUUUGUGCACAAGAGGUGUGGCAUAAUGCCUACAAUGAAAGAGCCAAAAUGCUGCAUGGAAUAUAAACAGAUGCAAGACAAGAUGGUCCGUGCUGGUAUGCAAGGUGGAUGUAUAACAUCUUAUCCUGGAUUUGAACAUGUGUGUUUAAAUGAAUGGGUGUUACAGCUUACCUACAUAUCGUAUCGGCAGCAGUAUGGGGCGCGAGCCGUGUUACCACAUUCAAGAGAAGAGCAAUACAGACACAUUGCAUACAGAAAUCUGGUCCGCUUCUGCUAUGGCUAUUUAGGCAGACUCAACAGAGUUACUCUACCAGCAUGUGCUGUGCUUAAGAUACGUAAGGCAUUUCCAAACCCAGAAGAGGAUGGUUACUCAGGAUUCAAAUUAGGAAAGUUAGAAGAAAUAUAAUUAUAAAUUUUAUAGUGUAAAUUUCCACUGAUGAAUAUAACUAAGCAGCAGGUAAAUAAACUUCAUUUCUUACCACUUGGUAUUCAAAGCCUAUGACAGUCUGUGCAAUGUCUUUGUCUGUAUUUGUAGCUGCUCCUGCUUCUCUAAAUUCAUUUGCAUUUGCAUCUUCUUCGAAUGGUAUAAAAUGGUAGGUGUCACAAGUGACAUCUAUUUUAGUUUAUAAGUAAGUAUUUUCUUUGAACCACUAACCUUACUUUUACACACAGCAGCUAGUCUUCAGUCAAAUAUGGUAAUGAGGUAAGUAUUCUUUGAGAAACUUGGUGUGUGAUUUACUGAUUGGCUGAAUGAGAAAUGAAUAUAAGUGAGGUAAUGCAAAUGAGUGCAGAGAUGCAAAUGAGUUUAGGUUAGUGGUGUGAAGCACUGACUGGAUGGGAGUGCAUGAAUAGUAAUGAGAUAUGAAUUUUUGGUGGGGUGUUGGUUAGAACUGGAUGAAGGGGGUUUGGAGAAUGGCUUGUGAGAUAGCAGGGAAAGGACAUGUUAGUCCAGAGUUAAUAUAUGUUGUAUUACAGACAACAAUAUCAGGUUCCAUGCCUACGUUAUACCAGCCUACAGACAUUGCGGGUGAGAUAAGAACAAUUUGUUUGCCUGUUAUUUUAUAAUAAAAAUGGUAGGCCUGAAUGUAUGCCAAUGAUCAUCCAGUGAACGGCUGUGAUGUAAUCAAUAUUGCAUUAUUUAGAUGGAAACCUUUUUACAAGUACCUGCUAUUUAUAUUGUUUUUGUAGAGCUAAUAAGCUUGGAUACCAGGGAGAAGUCAACCCUGAGUUAAAGUGAACAUCACUAUAGUUCAAAAUUAGUGAAUUUUGUGGAGCUAAUAAGCUCAGAUUGCAGGGAGUAACCCUGAUUUAUGCUGAAUGUUAUUGAAGGUAACUAUAAUCCAGAAUUAGUAAAUUUAUGGAGCUAAUAAGCUCGGAUACAAGAAUAUAAUUUGGAUUGAAGGCCACUUUAAUGCAGAAUUUGUGAAUUGGUGUUUGAAGCUAUUCGAGUUUACUAAGCCAGGAAGAACCUGUGAAUGUCAUUAAAGAAGUGAACUGUGGGGGGAUUGUGAUUGUUCUUUGGGCAGGGUGUCUGAAAGUGGACAGUUGAACUUUAUGUAAUUUUUGCUUUUGGUCAAUUGCAAAAUAUAGUAUUCAUUUAUUAUAAUUCUGUAAUCAUUCUUCCAUGCUUUAUUCACAUUAAUUUUUGGAAUGUUAAAAUAAUAUAAUGAUUCAAUGAUGGUUAAUUUUUUGAAAUUGCUGUUAAUAUUGUGAAGUUAUUGUUACUGUAUUAUUUUGAAAUUUGAGAAGAUAAAUGUAAAGUAAAUCAUAACAUUAAAUAUGUACCAUUGACAGUAACUUUCAUUGUGAUAUACAGUACAAUAUUAUUAAUCCGGUAUAUAGAAUAAUUAUUUCCAUCUGAUAACUGAUGUUAAUUGAGGAUUACCAAUAAGCCUAGUUUAUUGGGUUUUUUUUUAAACUAUAUAUUCUUACCAUUAACAGUGAAUCUCGAGAUAUAAUAGUUUAUUGUUCAGUGUUAAACACUCACCUGAAUAUAAUUGGUGUUUUGAUAAUUGAGAUCGUUUUCCUUUGGUUUAAACGUUUUAUAUAAUUGGAAAAUUCAUAUACUAUAUCAUAUUAAAUCAGUUUAUUUUAACUUUUUGUAAGACAGUGUCAGUUCGGUUUAUUUAUCAUCCUGAGGUUUUAUUUGUUCAGACAAAUUACAAUGUCCGUAUGAGCCUAUAUUAGGCUGUGUGACAGUAGUCUCUAAAAUUAAACUUAAUUUGCUUCUUAAUCUUUCCCAUCAGCCUAUCAGAACAAAACUCCUGUAGUUCAUUAUAAUUACUGUAAUGUGUAUGCUAUUUGCUUGUUUGUAAACUUGACAUUUGGGUCAAAUUAAUGAAUAAUUGGCACACUGCCCUAAUUGAAAUUUUAUUAUUUAUUUAUUUAUUAUUAAAUUUUAUUUAAUAAUAUAAUAUAAUUUUAACGGGUGGUCAUGGCUUAAAGUGCAUUUUCGUUAUAAUGCAACACUGCUAUUAUCACCCUAGAAUUUAAAUGACACAAGUUUAACAAGUUGUCCGUAUAGCAAUUGGCACGCAAGUUUGAUGAUUGCAGAGUGUAUGUUUAACUCUGUCCACACUAUAAUAUUUUAUGCAACAAAUUUGUCUUGAUGUCAUAUCACAUUUUUCUCACACAUACAAUUUGAUAGUGUAGAUUGAGCCUAACACUUACCUGGUAAACAUGCCAUUGUAGGAAUACAACAGCAUUUUGGGAGCAAAGUGAAUGAUAGUCCCAUGGAAUGCCUCUACACCCGAUGUCUGCCGAUGUGGACUAAGCUUUUGUAUGUCCUUUAGAAAGUGACGUUUUUCUAGAAGAUCGGACUAUUUUUCGCAUGCCUUUGACCCUGUCGGAUGACAAAAUUAAUAUAACAUUUAAACUGUAGAAAACAUUACUAAAAUUUUAUCUUUACAUUUAUUUUUCGUGAUGUUAUAUGAUGUUGUUGAUAAUAAAAUAUGAUAUAAAAA